CGUCAAGCUUAAUGCGGCCUAAGCUAACACACAACAAGCACACACGAUUUACCUUUGAUGAAUCGCAUGACAUAACAAUUCACAUGCGAUGUUUUAUGUGUUGGUCGCAUACUCAGUUCGUAAACCUUCAUGCAGUCUCAUGAGAGAAUAACAUGCUUGGCAGCACUCAGGGGGGGCUUCCGCAAACGAAAUCGCAUCAGGCGCAGCCCUACAUCGCACAACGAUUCAUCAUACCAUCAACUAGAUGCCAGAAAGGUGGCGGGACAUGCCGCAUGCGAACGCGCACGCAAUUAGAACCCCGCCGUGAGAUGCGUCGGUGGCUGUGAGGCAGGUGGGGACAUGCCUGGGAGGCUGAAAGGGCUUCCGGACGCAUAAAUCGCAUCAGGCGCCGUCGUACGCCGGACCAACGAUACAUCAUAACAUUUCUAGUUGUUAGAAAGGCGGCGGGGAAAGGAGCAUCCAUACGCGCACGCAAUUAGACCCCCGCCGUGAGAUGCGUCGGUGGCUGUGAGGCAGGUGGGGACAUGCCUGGGAGGCUGAAAGG
rnacentral:lncRNA from 1 species